rnacentral:rRNA from 1 species
UUAAGGAAGAAAGAGCAUAAGGUGAAUGCCUUGGUGAUUAGAGCCGAAGAAGGACGUGGCAAGCUGCGAAAAGCUAUGAUAAGGAGCAAACAUCCGUUAUAGUCAUAGAUAUCCGAAUGAGGAAACUCACUUAAUAGAGAUAUUAAGUAUCCAUUACUGAAUAAAUAGGUAAUAGGAAGGGAACCCGCCGAACUGAAACAUCUAAGUAGGUGGAGGAAAAGAAAGAAACAUCGAUUCCCAAAGUAGCGGCGAGCGAAAUGGGAGGAGCCCAAACCAUAUAAGGAAACUUAAAUGGGGUAAGGACUAUCAAGAAAGUGACGAGGUAUUGAAGAAGAAGUAGUCUGGGAAGCUACACCAAAGACGGUAAAAGUCCGGUAAUCGAAACAAGAAGACGCACGAGAUAGUACCAGAGUAUCGUAGGACACGAGGAACCCUGCGAGAAGAAAGGGGGACCACCCCCAAAGGCUAAAUACUACUAAUCAACCGAUAGAGAAAAGUACCGUGAGGGAAAGGUGAAAAGAACCCCGGGAGGGGAGUGAAAGAGAACCUGAAACCAUAUGCUUACAAACAGAUGGAGCGAUAAGUGACAUCGUACUUUUUGUAGAACGGGCCAACGAGUUAUGCUGUAAAGCAAGGAAAAGAAAUUAAGUUUCAAAUCCAAAGCGAAAGCGAGUCUGAAAAGGGCGAUAAGUUAUACAGCAUAGACCCGAAACCGGGCGACCUACCCAUGAGCAGGUUGAAGUUUCAGUAACAUGAAAUGGAGGACCGAACCCACGAACGUUGAAAAGUUCGGGGAUGACUUGUGGGUAGAGGUGAAAUUCCAAUCGAGCUCGGAGAUAGCUGGUUCUCUUCGAAAUAGCUUUAGGGCUAGCGUCUUAAAAAAAAGUAUAUUGGGGGUAGAGCACUGAAUGCUCUAGGGGCCGUAUAGGUUACCGAAAGCUAUCAAACUGCGAAUACCAAUAUAUGAUAAAAGGCAGUCAGACUAUGAGUGAUAAGAUCCAUAGUCAAGAGGGAAAAAGCCCAGACCAACAGCUAAGGUCCCCAAAUGUAUGUUAAGUGGAAAAGGAUGUGAAAUUGCACAGACAACCAGGAUGUUGGCUUAGAAGCAGCCAUACAUUAAAAGAGUGCGUAAUAGCUCACUGGUCGAGUGGUUUUGCGCCGAAAAUUACCGGGGCUCAAACAUACUACCGAAGCUUUGGAUUCACGCAAGACGUGAGUGGUAGAAGAGCAUCGUAUGAUAGGACGAAGCAGAAUCGAAAGAGACUGUGGACAAGAUACGAGAGAGAAUGUUGGCAUGAGUAGCGAGAUGUGUGUGAGAAUCACACAGGCCGAAAACCCAAGGAUUCCUGAGGAAGGUUCGUCCGCUCAGGGUAAGUCGGGGCCUAAGGCGAGGCAGAGAUGCGUAGCUGAUGGAUAACAGGUUAAGAUUCCUGUACCUACGAGUAUCGCCAAAGAGGAGAAGGAAUGACGCAGGAGGAUAGUUAAAGCGUGCGACUGGAAGAGCACGUCCAAGCAGCAAGUUAGAGUAUAAAGGCAAAUCCGUAUGCUUGAUAAUAUGAGCUGUGAAGGGGAGCGAAUAAAGUAGCGAAGUUAAUGAUUUCACACUGACAGGAAAAGUUUCUAUCCAGAUACAAGUAGCCCGUACCGAAAACCGACACAGGUGGGUAAGGUGAGAAACCUAAGGCCAGCGAGAGAACUGUUGUUAAGGAACUCGGCAAAAUGACCCCGUAACUUAGGGAGAAGGGGUGCCUACGAGAGUAGGCCACAGAAAAAAGGCCCAAGCGACUGUUUACCAAAAACAUAGGUCUCUGCGAAACCGAAAGGUGAAGUAUAGGGGCUGACGCCUGCCCGGUGCUGGAAGGUUAAGAGGAGAGUUUAGAGAAAUCGAAGAUUUGAAUUUAAGCCCCAGUAAACGGCGGCCGUAACUAUAACGGUCCUAAGGUAGCGAAAUUCCUUGUCGGGUAAGUUCCGACCCGCACGAAAGGCGUAACGAUUUGGGCACUGUCUCAACAACAGACUCGGUGAAAUUGUAGUACCGGUGAAGAUGCCGGAAACCUGCGACAGGACGGAAAGACCCCAUGGAGCUUUACUGUAGCUUAGUAUUGAAUUUAUGUAAUUAAUGUACAGAAUAGGUGGGAGGCAGAGAAUGUAGGUCGUCAGAUUUACAGGAGCCAACUUUGGGAUACCACCCUUUGAUUAUGUGAGUUCUAACCGGAACCUUUGAAGCAAGGUACGGGACAGUGCUUGGCGGACAGUUUGACUGGGGCGGUCGCCUCCCAAAGAGUAACGGAGGCGUCCAAAGGUUCCCUCAGCAUGGUCGGAAAUCAUGCGAAGAGUGCAAAGGCAAAAGGGAGCUUGAUUGCGAGACUAACAAGUCGAGCAAAGACGAAAGUCGGGCUUAGUGAUCCGGUGGUAGAAAGUGGAAUUGCCAUCGCUCAACGGAUAAAAGCUACCCUGGGGAUAACAGGCUGAUCUCCCCCAAGAGUUCACAUCGACGGGGAGGUUUGGCACCUCGAUGUCGGCUCAUCACAUCCUGGGGCUGGAGUAGGUCCCAAGGGUUGGGCUGUUCGCCCAUUAAAGUGGUACGCGAGCUGGGUUCAGAACGUCGUGAGACAGUUCGGUCCCUAUCCGUCGCAGGCGUAGGAUAUUUGAGAGGAGCUAUCCUUAGUACGAGAGGACCGGGAUGGACGCACCACUGGUGUACCAGUUGUCUUGCCAAAGGCACAGCUGGGUAGCUAUGUGCGGAACGGAUAAGUGCUGAAGGCAUCUAAGCACGAAGCCAACCUCAAGAUAAGAUAUCCCAUUCGAAAGAAGUAAGACCCCAUUAAGAGUAAGUGGUAGAUAGGCAAGAAGUGUAAGUGCAGUAAUGUAUUAAGCUAACUUGUACUAAUAGGUCGAGGACUUAACCUA